rnacentral:rRNA from 1 species
AUUGAACGCUGGCGGCAGGCCUAACACAUGCAAGUCGAACGAGUGGCGGACGGGUGAGUAAUGUAUGGGAAACCGCCUGAUGGAUGGGGAUAACUACUGGAAACGGUAGCUAAUACCGCAUACCAUCGGAUGUGCCAAGAUGGGAUUAGCUAGUAGGUGGGGUAAAGGCUCACCUAGGCGACGAUCCCUAGCGGGUCUGAGAGGAUGACCAGCAACACUGGAACUGAGACACGGUCCAGACUCCAACGGGAGGCGGCAGUGGGGAAUAUUGCACAAUGGAGUGAAGCCUGAUGUAGACAUGCCGCAUGUAUGGAAAAGGCCUGCGGGUUGUAAAGUACUGUCAGCGGGGAGGAGUUACCCGAAGAAGAAGCACCGGCUAACUCCGUGCCAGCAGCCGCGGUAAUAC